UUGACCUCGGAUCCCAG
rnacentral:rRNA from 1 species